rnacentral:rRNA from 1 species
AUUGAACGCUGGCGGCAGGCCUAACACAUGCAAGUCGAACGGUAGCACAGAGGAGCUUGCUCCUUGGGUGACGAGUGGCGGACGGGUGAGUAAUGUCUGGGAAACUGCCCGAUGGAGGGGGAUAACUACUGGAAACGGUAGCUAAUACCGCAUAACGUCUUCGGACCAAAGUGGGGGACCUUCGGGCCUCACACCAUCGGAUGUGCCCAGAUGGGAUUAGCUAGUAGGUGGGGUAAUGGCUCACCUAGGCGACGAUCCCUAGCUGGUCUGAGAGGAUGACCAGCCACACUGGAACUGAGACACUGUCCAGACUCCUACGGGAGGCAGCAGUGGGGAAUAUUGCACAAUGGGCGCAAGCCUGAUGCAGCCAUGCCGCGUGUAUGAAGAAGGCCUUCGGGUUGUAAAGUACUUUCUGCGGGGAGGAAGGCGUUAAGGUUAAUAACCUUGGCGAUUGACGUUACCCGCAGAAGAAGCACCGGCUAACUCCGUGCCAGCCGCCGCCGUAA